rnacentral:rRNA from 1 species
GACGAACGCUGGCGGCGUGCUUAACACAUGCAAGUCGAGCGGUAAGGCUCCUUCGGGAGUACACGAGCGGCGAACGGGUGAGUAACACGUGAGUAAUCUGCCCUUCACUUCGGGAUAACCGCCGGAAACGGUGGCUAAUACCGGAUACGACACAGUUUCGCAUGAGAUCUGUGUGGAAAGUUUUCUCGGUGGAGGAUGUGCUCGCGGCCUAUCAGCUUGUUGGUGAGGUAACGGCUCACCAAGGCUUCGACGGGUAGCCGGCCUGAGAGGGUGACCGGCCACACUGGACUGAGACACGGCCCAGACUCCUACGGGAGGCAGCAGUGGGGAAUAUUGGACAAUGGGCGAAAGCCUGAUCCAGCAACGCCGCGUGAGGGAUGACGGCCUUCGGGUUGUAAACCUCUUUCAGUACCGACGAAGCGCCUUCAACGGUGGUGACGGUAGGUACAGAAGAAGGACCGGCCAACUACGUGCCAGCAGCCGCGGUAAUACGUAGGGUCCGAGCGUUGUCCGGAAUUAUUGGGCGUAAAGGGCUCGUAGGCGGUCUGUUGCGUCGGGAGUGAAAACUUACAGCUUAACUGUGAGCGUGCUUCCGAUACGGGCAGACUUGAGGCAUUCAGGGGAGAACGGAAUUCCUGGUGUAGCGGUGAAAUGCGCAGAUAUCAGGAGGAACACCGGUGGCGAAGGCGGUUCUCUGGGAAUGUCCUGACGCUGAGGAGCGAAAGUGUGGGGAGCGAACAGGAUUAGAUACCCUGGUAGUCCACACCGUAAACGUUGGGCGCUAGGUGUGGGGUCCAUUCCACGGAUUCCGUGCCGCAGCUAACGCAUUAAGCGCCCCGCCUGGGGAGUACGGCCGCAAGGCUAAAACUCAAAGGAAUUGACGGGGGCCCGCACAAGCGGCGGAGCAUGCGGAUUAAUUCGAUGCAACGCGAAGAACCUUACCUGGGUUUGACAUAUGCCGGAAAGCUCUAGAGAUAGAGCCCCUUUUGUCGGUAUACAGGUGGUGCAUGGCUGUCGUCAGCUCGUGUCGUGAGAUGUUGGGUUAAGUCCCGCAACGAGCGCAACCCUCGUCCUAUGUUGCCAGCACGUAAUGGUGGGGACUCAUAGGAGACUGCCGGGGUCAACUCGGAGGAAGGUGGGGAUGACGUCAAGUCAUCAUGCCCCUUAUGUCCAGGGCUUCACGCAUGCUACAAUGGCCGGUACAAAGGGCUGCGAUACCGCAAGGUGGAGCGAAUCCCAAAAAGCCGGUCUCAGUUCGGAUUGGGGUCUGCAACUCGACCCCAUGAAGUCGGAGUCGCUAGUAAUCGCAGAUCAGCAACGCUGCGGUGAAUACGUUCCCGGGCCU